rnacentral:rRNA from 1 species
CAGUAGCCGCGGUAAUACGAAGGGGGCUAGCGUUGUUCGGAUUUACUGGGCGUAAAGCGCACGUAGGCGGGUCGUUAAGUCGGGGGUGAAAUCCUGGAGCUCAACUCCAGAACUGCCUUCGAUACUGGCGAUCUUGAGUCCGGAAGAGGUGAGUGGAACUCCUAGUGUAGAGGUGGAAUUCGUAGAUAUUAGGAAGAACACCAGUGGUGAAGGCGGCUCACUGGUCCGGUACUGACGCUGAGGUGCGAAAGCGUGGGGAGCAAACAGGAUUAGAUACCCGCGUAGUCCCUGUCUCUUAUAC